rnacentral:lncRNA from 1 species
GAUAAUCAAUUGACCAAUGUAUAUAAUUCUCCUAUCUAUAAAAAAAAAUAUAAAUAUAUGGAUGCCGUAGAAUAUGUACAUUAAUCAAAAAGAUGGGUCUAGAGUUUUAUGCAAUGCGAAAUUAGUGGAUUUGUAAAGAGCAUCAUAAAAAAUAUGGGCGAUCGGGACACGCAACCCGUGCAUGCGGACAUGAAGCAUGCCAGACG